ACUUGAAUAGCUUAUGUUAGAGCACGACACUGAAGAUGUCGAUGAGGUAUUUUUACCUUUGAGUA
rnacentral:tRNA from 1 species